AAAUUUUCAACUUCAUACAUCCGAUGUCAAAUUUAGCUAGCUCUAGGCCAUCCAUGCAUCUGUAUUCUAAGUUCUAACUUUGUUUAGUGAAUCAAAUGCAUUAAACUUGAAUAGUCUGAAGAUUCUCAACAGUGUAUCCAGUUCUUUCAUGUCCGGAGCUUACCUGGUGUCCAUAUAGAAAGAAGGUAAGGGCUUGGAUCAUCUGGUUCCCGUCUGUCCAUCUGUAAAGUUGAAUAGUGAUUAAUUGAGAAUAAUAAUGCUUAUGUAUUGUUGAUAUAAUAUAUAAUUUUAACCUACCCCUUUUAAGAGUGGAUGUGAAUCUGGUAGUUCAUACCUGCAUUAUACCAGCACAGAAUGUAUAAGUGUGUUAGAGAAGUUACACUUAUGUCUGUUUACACAUGCUUGAUAUGGGUAUGUGUGCCAAAACUCGGAACAUACUGGCUCCUAGGCAGAGAUUUGUUUAAAAUUCAGCGAAUUCAAAAUUUAGACACCUAAGUUUGUUUUCCUAGAUUGAAUAUGCUGUGGUUUCAUUAUAAAUGAUCAAUCAGAGAUAUUAGGAAAAUUUAGUGCAAACCUUUAAAGUAGACUUUGGCCCUACAAUAUUUCAGUUUGUGUUCAGUGUUUUGCUAAGAAUAUGUGGGUUUGUGACUAUGGGAUGAAAUGUACUUACACUUGGUGCUCUGUUCGUAGUCGACUGACAUUCUUUAGCUUGGGUGUAGGAAUAAAAGCAGCUUCUGAAGUCAAGGCAACUAAAGCCUUGGACAUGUCACCUUCUUGGAGCUCCAUCUUCUCUUGCAUAUAGUUCUGUAAUGUCGA
rnacentral:lncRNA from 1 species